rnacentral:rRNA from 1 species
UGCAGUCGACGGUAACAGGGAGCUUGCUCCGCUGACGAGUGGCGAACGGGUGAGUAAUGCGUCGGAACGUGCCGAGUAGUGGGGGAUAACGCAGCGAAAGUUGUGCUAAUACCGCAUACGUACUGAGGUAGAAAGUGGGGGACCUUCGGGCCUCACGCUAUUCGAGCGGCCGACGUCUGAUUAGCUAGUAGGUGAGGUAAGAGCUCACCUAGGCGACGAUCAGUAGCGGGUCUGAGAGGAUGAUCCGCCACACUGGGACUGAGACACGGCCCAGACUCCUACGGGAGGCAGCAGUGGGGAAUUUUGGACAUGGGCGAAAGCCUGAUCCAGCCAUGCCGCGUGUCUGAAGAAGGCUUCGGGUUGUAAAGGACUUUUGUCGGGGAGGAAUCCCCAGCGCUAUACCGUGGGGAUG